rnacentral:rRNA from 1 species
UGGGGAAUUUUGGACAAUGGGCGAAAGCCUGAUCCAGCAAUGCCGCGUGUGUGAAGAAGGCCUUCGGGUUGUAAAGCACUUUUGUCCGGAAAGAAAUCCUUGGCUCUAAUACAGUCGGGGGAUGACGGUACCGGAAGAAUAAGCACCGGCUAACUACGUGCCAGCAGCCGCGGCAAUACGUAGGGUGCAAGCGUUAAUCGGAAUUACUGGGCGUAAAGCGUGCGCAGGCGGUUUGCUAAGACCGAUGUGAAAUCCCCGGGCUCAACCUGGGAACUGCAUUGGUGACUGGCAGGCUAGAGUACGGCAGAGGGGGGUAGAAUUCCACGUGUAGCAGUGAAAUGCGUAGAGAUGUGGAGGAAUACCGAUGGCGAAGGCAGCCCCCUGGGCCAAUACUGACGCUCAUGCACGAAAGCGUGGGGAGCAAAACAGGAUUAGAUACCCCUGGUAGUCCACGCCCUAAACGAUGUCAACUAGUUGUUGGGGAUUCAUUUCCUUAGUAACGUAGCUAACGCGUGAAGUUGACCGCCUGGGGAGUACGGUCGCAAGAUUAAAACUUAAAUGAAUUGACGGGGUCAUAGCUG